rnacentral:rRNA from 1 species
CUCAGGAUGAACGCUGGCGGCGUGCUUAAUACAUGCAAGUCGAACGAAGCGCUUACAGCCGAUCCCUUCGGGGUGAAGCAGUUUGUGACUUAGUGGCGGACGGGUGAGUAACGCGUGGGUAACCUGCCUCAUGCAGGGGGAUAACAGUUAGAAAUGACCGCUAAUACCGCAUAAGCGCACGGCACCGCAUGGUGGAGUGUGAAAAGAUUUAUCGGCAUGAGAUGGACCCGCGUCUGAUUAGGUAGUUGGUGGGGUAACGGCCUACCAAGCCGACGAUCAGUAGCCGACUUGAGAGAGUGAUCGGCCACAUUGGGACUGAGACACGGCCCAGACUCCUACGGGAGGCAGCAGUAGGGAAUAUUGCACAAUGGGGGAAACCCUGAUGCCAGCGACGCCGCGUGAGUGAAGAAGUAUUUCGGUACGUAAAGCUCUAUCAGCAGGGAAGAUAAUGACGGUACCUGACUAAGAAGCCCCGGCUAACUACGUGCCAGCAGCGGC